rnacentral:rRNA from 1 species
UCCAGACUCCUACGGGAGGCAGCAGUGAGGAAUAUUGGUCAAUGGCCGGAAGGCUGAACCAGCCAAGUCGCGUGAGGGAAUAAGGCCCUAUGGGUCGUAAACCUCUUUUGUCAGGGAGCAAAGGCGUCCACGAGUGGACGAAAGGAGAGUACCUGAAGAAAAAGCAUCGGCUAACUCCGUGCCAGCAGCCGCGGUAAUACGGAGGAUGCGAGCGUUAUCCGGAUUUAUUGGGUUUAAAGGGUGCGUAGGCGGAGUGUCAAGUCAGCGGUAAAAUUUCGGGGCUCAACCCCGUCGUGCCGUUGAAACUGACACCCUUGAGUGAGUGAGAAGUAAGCGGAAUGCGUGGUGUAGCGGUGAAAUGCAUAGAUAUCACGCAGAACGCCGAUUGCGAAGGCAGCCUCCUGGGACGCAACUGACGCUCAUACACGAAAGCGUGGGGAGCAAACAGGAUUAGAUACCCGGGUA